AAGCAAAGAAGUAUAAAUACACUUAAUUUCGACUUAAAUUUAGAGAAAUAAAUUUCUCCAUGCUUA
rnacentral:tRNA from 1 species